rnacentral:rRNA from 1 species
UACGUAGGGUGCAAGCGUUAAUCGGAUUUACUGGGCGUAAAGGGCGCGUAGGCGGCUUAACAAGUCACUUGUGAAAUCUCCGGGCUUAACUCGGAACGGCCAAGUGAAACUGUCAAGCUAGAGUGCAGAAGGGGCAAUCGGAAUUCCUGGUGUAGCGGUGAAAUGCGCAGAUAUCAGGAGGAACACCGGUGGCGAAGGCGGGUCUCUGGGCCGAUACUGACGCUGAGGAGCGAAAGCGUGGGGAGCGAACAGG